AAACCCAUUUCUAAGAUCAUUACAAUAGUCUAGAAACCUAGCUGUAUAACUGUAACUAUCGUUCCAGUUGUUUCCAUCCCCUGGUUGCGCCCAGCCCUGUGGUACAUAAUUAGCCUUUAGCCUCACAAAAUCUGCAAUUCCUUCAAUCACAUGACUUGGAGCUUUGUUUCCCGCAGACCCAUCCCACUGCCAAACGUGUGUCAUCUCAUGAUAGACCACCCCAUUAAAGUCUGGCUUGAUAUCACCUUGGAUCUUUUCAAUAAAAUUAUCCCCUACAGAGAUCUCGUUGUUGCCUGUUUUAGCGAUCUCGUCAUCACCAAGAUCAUCGAGAAACAGGGAUACACGGGGCACGUUCUUUCUGUCAGCUUCAGUGUUUUGCUGGAAGAGGCUCCAGAUGAAGUCACUCGCUAAUGCCAUUGUUUGUUUAGUGUAUU
rnacentral:misc_RNA from 1 species